rnacentral:rRNA from 1 species
UACGUAGGGUGCGAGCGUUGUCCGGAAUUAUUGGGCGUAAAGAGCUCGUAGGCGGUGUGUCACGUCGGCCGUGAAAACCUGCAGCUUAACUGUGGGCGUGCGGUCGAUACGGGCAUCACUGGAGUUCGGCAGGGGAGACUGGAAUUCCUGGUGUAGCGGUGAAAUGCGCAGAUAUCAGGAGGAACACCGGUGGCGAAGGCGGGUCUCUGGGCCGAUACUGACGUGGAGGAGCGGAAAGCGUGGGGAGCAAACAGG